GUAAAAGUGCUCUAAGACUAAGAAAAUAGGACGAAAUUUUUCCAUUGCCUUUUUCGAGACACGAUCUCGCUUUGUAGUGCAGGCUGGCCUCGAGCUCACGGCGAUCCUACUGCCCCAGCCUCUCCAGUGCUGGUAUUACAGGCAUAUGCCGCCAGCCCAGGCUCAUUGCCUUGUUAAUCCAUGCAUACAUUCAAUUUAUUUCGCAAGUUUUUGCUGAGCUCCAUCUGUAGUCUGGGAGUAAACAACCCAGGGAAGACAGAAGAACAAAUCAAUCAAGAUAAUUUCAGAUUAUCCUGUCUGAACUUUUUCAAAAUAAAGUUGGUUGUGGCGAAGAGAUUUAUAAAAAUGCGAGUCCCAGAUGCCAUUUUCAGAUAUUCUAAUUGGGCAAUUCUGGGCGAAUCCUGUGACUCUGAAUUUUUCAAUUUCCCUCUGUUCUGUUGCACAAAGUUGAAUACCAUGGAUCUAAUCCAACUUUAGACUUUCCCUCACGCCCAUUUCACAGAGGAAAACACUGAGGACCCAAGAAGCCAAGGGCAGCAACCACAUCCCAGCUUCCAACACAUUCUAACAGCCUGCCAGAUGGGUAGACCUGACAGACACCUCGGAGACACAUCCUAGGUCACCCACCGUGAGGACACCCGCAUCCACAGGGAAGCCCCCAGCCGCUGACCACACCGCACCUUUCUCUCUCUCGGGCCGACAUGCUCUUCUGAGUGUGAGCUUUUAAAUUCUGCUCAAUAAACCUCUGUUUGCC
ensembl:lncRNA